rnacentral:rRNA from 6 species
AGAGUUUGAUCAUGGCUCAGAUUGAACGCUGGCGGCAGGCCUAACACAUGCAAGUCGAGCGGUAGCACAGAGAGCUUGCUCUCGGGUGACGAGCGGCGGACGGGUGAGUAAUGUCUGGGAAACUGCCUGAUGGAGGGGGAUAACUACUGGAAACGGUAGCUAAUACCGCAUAAUGUCGCAAGACCAAAGUGGGGGACCUUCGGGCCUCAUGCCAUCAGAUGUGCCCAGAUGGGAUUAGCUAGUAGGUGGGGUAACGGCUCACCUAGGCGACGAUCCCUAGCUGGUCUGAGAGGAUGACCAGCCACACUGGAACUGAGACACGGUCCAGACUCCUACGGGAGGCAGCAGUGGGGAAUAUUGCACAAUGGGCGCAAGCCUGAUGCAGCCAUGCCGCGUGUGUGAAGAAGGCCUUCGGGUUGUAAAGCACUUUCAGCGGGGAGGAAGGCGUUAAGGUUAAUAACCUUGGCGAUUGACGUUACCCGCAGAAGAAGCACCGGCUAACUCCGUGCCAGCAGCCGCGGUAAUACGGAGGGUGCAAGCGUUAAUCGGAAUUACUGGGCGUAAAGCGCACGCAGGCGGUCUGUCAAGUCGGAUGUGAAAUCCCCGGGCUCAACCUGGGAACUGCAUUCGAAACUGGCAGGCUAGAGUCUUGUAGAGGGGGGUAGAAUUCCAGGUGUAGCGGUGAAAUGCGUAGAGAUCUGGAGGAAUACCGGUGGCGAAGGCGGCCCCCUGGACAAAGACUGACGCUCAGGUGCGAAAGCGUGGGGAGCAAACAGGAUUAGAUACCCUGGUAGUCCACGCCGUAAACGAUGUCGAUUUGGAGGUUGUGCCCUUGAGGCGUGGCUUCCGGAGCUAACGCGUUAAAUCGACCGCCUGGGGAGUACGGCCGCAAGGUUAAAACUCAAAUGAAUUGACGGGGGCCCGCACAAGCGGUGGAGCAUGUGGUUUAAUUCGAUGCAACGCGAAGAACCUUACCUGGUCUUGACAUCCACAGAACUUAGCAGAGAUGCUUUGGUGCCUUCGGGAACUGUGAGACAGGUGCUGCAUGGCUGUCGUCAGCUCGUGUUGUGAAAUGUUGGGUUAAGUCCCGCAACGAGCGCAACCCUUAUCCUUUGUUGCCAGCGGUCCGGCCGGGAACUCAAAGGAGACUGCCAGUGAUAAACUGGAGGAAGGUGGGGAUGACGUCAAGUCAUCAUGGCCCUUACGACCAGGGCUACACACGUGCUACAAUGGCAUAUACAAAGAGAAGCGACCUCGCGAGAGCAAGCGGACCUCAUAAAGUAUGUCGUAGUCCGGAUUGGAGUCUGCAACUCGACUCCAUGAAGUCGGAAUCGCUAGUAAUCGUAGAUCAGAAUGCUACGGUGAAUACGUUCCCGGGCCUUGUACACACCGCCCGUCACACCAUGGGAGUGGGUUGCAAAAGAAGUAGGUAGCUUAACCUUCGGGAGGGCGCUUACCACUUUGUGAUUCAUGACUGGGGUGAAGUCGUAACAAGGUAACCGUAGGGGAACCUGCGGUUG